UUUCGCAAACCUGAACCCAAAAAGGACGAUUACAUUUUUAUUUUACAACGAAAUGGUCUCCAAACUUCCUUAAUGGACUCGACACAGCCUAGAACAAGUAUACUGACAUCUAAUUCGUAAUCAGCCACCCCAAAAUCUAGAGUGUAAUGAAGUGGAUCCGUAAGUUAAUUCUUAGAUUUUCUAGAGACCCAAACUGCCUUAAUGAAAAACGAACCUCAGAUUUUGAUUCAGCGACCCCAAAAUCAUAAGAUUUAAAUGGACAGACCUCAAUUCAGUGUAAUAUGUAUGUAUGCAUAAAUUCGUAUUUAAAUUGAGAAUUUACAUAUGUAUGUACAUUUAUGUAAUCUGUAAAUUAGAGCAAAGUUCGUCAUACACACAUCUGCUCAAUUUUUUUUUACGACAAAUUGAAUUCCCUUCUGCAGUAUUAACACUUUUUUUUGACAACGACAGAAAUCCCUGCCAGCUUAAUUAAAUUAAAUAUUCAAGCAAUAAAAAGGGGAAGACAGAUGCAAUUGGCUUAGCAUUGAUUAUGAAUGGUUGGGGGAUGAAGUGAAAUAAUAACAAGUAACUACAAUGUUUUUGGAAAACUGUGAAACCAUUUAAUUCUAUUUAUUCUCCGCGGCGGAGAAGUGUUAAACAAAAAUAAGUCAAGUCGCUGCAGUCAGUGGUAUAAACUGUGUGAUGUUGAUUAUAAAAAAAGGUCCUUACAAAUAUGUACAUACAUAUGUAUGUAUGUACAUACUUAUGCAUGUACAUUUGAACUUAUCAAUUCUAUCAAAUUACGUUUGUACAUACAUACUUAUUAAGUUCCGACCACAAAUCACACGAAAAGUUUUUCUUAUACCCGGUACUCGAAGAGUAAAUAGGGUAUAUUGUAUUUGCGAACGGAGCAAUGUGCGUAACGCACAACGAAGGAAACGUUUCCGACACUAUAAGGGACAUAUAUGUACAUACAUACAUACAUGUACAUAUGUAGGUGUAUAUUCUUGAUUAGCAUCAAUAGCCUAUUCGAUAUAGCCGUGUCUGUCCGUCUGUCCGCCUGUCGAGAGCUGGAGUAACUUCUCUAAUAUCACAAUGUUACAAGUGUACUUCAAAAUUUCUCACAGCCCCUCAACAUUCAAUAUUUUGAAGAUGAGAGAAAACUUAAACGCAGUUCCGAAUUGAUGUCAGACAAAGUACAAAGUACAAAGUGCACACAAAGGUUUUCUUCGCUUUUGUAUGGAGAUGAAUUUAUUAUAACAUUAGAAGUUAGCGAAGUGAAUUUGCAGGGAGCUUGCCCCCUAGUCCAUCUACAUAAGUAUGCUAUAUCAAAACGGCUUAGCCUUUCAUUUAAACUAACUUAGCAGCAUGUGAAAAAACUAGCUUUUAUAAGUUUCGCCCCUCUAAGCUAACUCUAUUUAAGUACAUAUGUAUGUAUGUACAUUUUUUUUCGAGCAAAUCUUUUGAUCUUACCUUUAUGGGUCAUAUGACUUUCAUGUUUUCUACAUUUUGCCCGUCUGUUUUGAAACCAAACCUGAAAGUAGGUAUGUAAAUAUUUUAUAGUUAUAUUUUUGUAUACCCUUGAAUGUACGUUAGUUUUUAUUUAAUACAAUUUAUUAAGCUAUAAUUUUCCAAAUGAAAAGUGUAUAUAAAAUGCCUCCUGCUAACUCGCUUCUUUCGUUUGCCAACCCCCAUUAUUCAGUACUCGUAUCAUAUACUAAUGAAAUAAAAAAUUCAUCCCCAUAAAAAUAAAAAAACAACAGGGAGGAACCUUGUAAGACGCACUGGAACGCGUCACAACUGUUCAACGCCCGUUAUUCAGUAGUAUAUAUUUGUUAGUUUUCUCUUAACAUCAAAAUUGUGACUGUGCGAGAUUUUAGCCCUUUGCGAUGUAUGGAAGUGUAAAUUUUGAUUGCUCCAGCUUCUUAGAUCUCUGAUUUCUAUGCGCUCGUUGGGACGAAAAGACGGACGGACAGACAUGAUUAUAUUGUCUCGGUUAUUGAUCCUGAUCAAGAUUUUAUAAAAUUUACAGGGUCGGAAACGUUUCCUUGUUCUCCAAUUUGAAUAUUUAUGUAUAUUAUACAAUUUUAAUGUAAAUAUAUUAUUAAUGUUGUAAUAAUGUUAUGUUUUUUUUUUUCUGUUUAAUUGCUUCGGUUUUCUACAAUCCUCCUGUGCAUUUUGAAAAUAUUUUUUAAGUUGCGCGUUCCUCAGGCGCCAAUAGGGCUCAGCUCGGCUGCUGUACUGCUGCGGUACCGCUCACGUACAUGUGCAUUACAGUGGUUGGUAAACCAAAAACGCACUGCUAGACUGUGAAAUUAUGAGUGCCGACCACUGGUUUAAAUGCAUCUGUAUAAUUUAUAGAAAGUAUUAGAAAUCGGAGAAAUAUGCAUGGGCACUUACUUCUAUAUUCUAAAAUUGUGUCAAGGCCGCCACGCCAGAAGUCUAACUUCGCCACACCAUUACUCUCUAUUUGGCCCAAUACUUGGCGACAGAAGCUCUUAAUGAACUUAUUUGUAUUUUACACUUUGCCUCUAUCUCUGAAUACUUCGCCGAACAAAAAAUCAACACAUUAUAUUCAUGAACAUUUCGCGUGCUUCCUCUCUCUCACACACUCAAUCUUGUGAAAAGUGCGCCUUCUGCUCGUUUCCAAGUUCUCUCGCCCAAAGGCUCGUAUGCGAGCUAGUUUGUGAGCAUUUUGCGGGACAACAAAUAAACUUAAUUGAUUUCGCGCUUGCGAGCUCGUUUUUGAGGGUUUAUCGAUACAAAAACGUAUAAGUCGUACACAAGUCGCCAGUUGUUCUUAUCCAAUGUUGUAGUUGUUGUUUAUACCAAUAGAGCGAUAUGGAGAGCGUGUGCGAACUGAGAGAACAGCUGGAAGACAGUCCAGAAAAAUAUAUUGCUUAAAAGGAAAAAUGUUUGAAAUAGAUCGCCGGCGUCAAAAAAACAUUGUAAAUUAAAUAAUUAUUUCGUUUUUGCUCUCUUUUGGCAAUAACGGACCUUUGGCAAACCGUAUGCAUUAUUGGCAACUCCCGAAUGCAUACUCAAUGCAACGACCAGCUAUGUUUCUUUCCCUUUCUUUCCUUUUAAUUUCAGUUGAACUUUCAAACUGGCACUAUUUACCAAAAACUGAUGAAAAUCUGAUUCCCCAGCUUGCUUUAGUUUCGUUUCAUGCACAAACAACAGGCCUUAAUCACAGAUUAUAAUUUAAGUAGUGCAGAUGUAACUAUGUACAUAUGUACUAUGUACAUUCAUGUACAUAUAUGUAACUGUUUCUAACUCAGUAAAGUAUACACAUGUAUAUUCUUAAUUAGCACCUGCGUCUGUACUUCCAUUUUAUGAAAGUGUAGCUAGAAAUUUAUGUUUAUUAUAUUCAUUCGUAUCAUACUAUAUCAUAGGCGGAAAUAUUGAAUAUUUUGUAUGCUCGAAAAUUUUCUGAGUGUAAUUUUCUAAGCAAGUGUAAAACCUACAUAAACGUUUAAUGUGAGCAGCCCUGAUUGAGUGUUUAACCUUUAAUCGGCCCCCUGAUGCUAAAACAAUUUUCUUGCUUGCCGUUCAUAUGACGGAAGGGUGGGAAACACCACUUAACAUCCCAUAUAUCCUUGAACGGUGGUGGUUGAAAACUUCAACUCAAUAAAUUGUGUUUUUGCUUUGCAAUUGCUAAGAACAGACAAUUUGUCUUUUUGUCAUUAGUACAAGUAUAAUAAAGAUAUAAAAAAACGAGGAGGAACGCUGUAAUACGCUCUGUACGCGUCAAAACUUGUAUACCCGGUACUCACUCAGUCUGCAUAUACAUAAUACAUACAUACAUUUGUACAUAUGAACAUACAUAUCUGAGCUCAGAGUUACUGGAAGGUGUAUGUUGUAGCCACUGAAAAUUAUUUCAUAAUUCUGGCUAUAAUAAUGAUACAAUCUGACCCUUGGCCAUACAUAUCAGCAUACAAUCUUCUGUAUCUUAAGAAUUGUGUACAUGACAGAUUUGCGCUCUUUGUGUGAUACGGUAUGAGCAGUCUAGCUGCAAAAUAUGAUGGCUGUAGCUCCCCUAUAGCGUCUGAUUGCGGACGGACAGACAGAAAUAGCUUCGGCUUUUGAUACUGAAUAUAUGUACAUAUAUAAUUUAUAGGGUCGGAAACGUUUCCUUCUUAGCGUUACGCACAUUUCUUCGACCACAAAUACAACAUACCCUAUUUACUCUUCGAGUAACGGGUAUUAGAAAACAAAUUUGUGCUCAGGGUUCUUAGCAGGGUUGUUUUGGACACUUUGUGAGACAUCUUAAUAUGCAGAAAAUAUAUGACCUUUGCUUAAAUAAUUACCUGCACUCUGGCCUCGCUAAGAGCCAAUCGCUGACUCAAUUCCUCUCGCAUAAAAGCAUCAGGGUAGUGUGUUUCUUCAAAAAGACGUUCCAGUUCGUUAAGUUGAUCGAGUGUAAAGUUUGUUCGUGAUCGACGCUGCUUAUUACUGCAUACUAAAGAUGAGUGAUGUUUUAAUUGCUCUCGUAUUGUAGUUUGAUCUUUAGAACUACACUUUUCGGCCAUAGUAAGUUCAUCAGAUGCAAAUUUUGUGGUGCUACUGUCGUCUGAAGAGUCACUUACAUUACCAGGAAUUAGUUCUGCAAAAUGUGUUUAUUAUUUUGUUAUAUCUAUGUAGGAUUUCUUUGCACAGUUUUGGAAGGGUGGUUCACAUUGUAUGGGUAUGUCGAGAAGGAGACGGUCUGAGUGUAGUGUGCUCGAAAAUAUUCGACAAACAAUUGUUUGACAAAAAUAACAUUCCUAUUAAAUAAGGAACAUAUAUUAUUGAUUGGUUAUUUCAACUUUCCAGACUGUUUGGUCUUCAUUAAGCUUAACGUCUUGUUUGAUGCCUACUUAUUCCUCAGAGACUAUGGGAGCUAGAUAAACCAAAUGUUGUGUGAUUAAUCACACUCAAUCAAGUUUGUUUAAAAAUAUCACACAGUUAAAAGAGUACAUAUAUCAACAUUUUUCACCUCCCCCUUCCACCCAUAAAAAGGGAGAAAAUCACUCACAUCCGCAGAUUUUAGAGAUAGGAGACAACUAAAAACGCAGUUUCGUAGAGAAUGGCCAUACCUAUCAAAUCCUAUCCCAUCCUUAUUAAAGACAAAAUGACAAUGUAGAUAACAGUUGUAAAAAAAAUGUAAAACGAAAAUUGAAAAAAAAUCACAAAGUAGACAUUAAUUCCAUACAUAUGCAUAUUCAUACUUAUAUACUGACGAAGUACUGGGGACAAAAGUUGCGACGCGUUACACCACGUCUCACAUCGUUCCUCCUCGUUGGUAUUCUCUCAUCUCUAAAAUUGUGGAUGUAAGAUAUAUUUGCCUUAAUGAAAAAAGGACGGGACCAAAUUUUAAAAUAUUCUUUUAACAGUGUGAUUUUACAGAAGUCCGGAUGGAAAAUGUGGUUGUUUUAGCUCUAAUGAUCUCAGGCGCUUAUCAGGACGGACGGACGGACAGACAGAAAUACCUAUGUAUAUGGUUCCUUGUGGGAAAAAAAGUUAAAUUUUGUCGAGUUGUGUUACUAUCGAGGGCUAUUGAUAUUGAUCAAGAAUAUACUUUAAGGACAGGAAACGUUUCCUUCUGUGUGUUACAAUUUUCUACCACAAAUGCAAUGUAAAUACACUAUUUACUUUAUAUAUACAUAUAUAUUUCUCAGGCGGCAUGCUGAAACCACAAAGUGCUUGAAGCCAUUUUCUAGCUGCAUCAAUUAGUUUUCCGAAUGACAAAGUUCUUUACAACCAGAUGUAAGAUACUAAAGCUAUUUAAGUGAAAAACAUUAAACAUUAAACAAUUAAACAAUGUCCCAAAUUCAAUUUUGUCGAGUAGUGUUAUUGGUUCAGUUGUAAAGUACAAAUUUAAACCAAUUAUUACUUUGUAAAUGAGUGAAUAAAACUUGGAAGUAAUUCAUUGUUGUAUUAUUUUUAUUAAUUAAACUUGAGACGAUUAUAGUCCCUGCGUUCAAGCGACAUGUAUAUUAAUGUUCAGCAUUGCAGUGCAAUGCAAUAAAAAAACGCGUAUAUUUUAAGUUAUCCGCAGCUUUCGAAAAAAAUUAACUUUAUUCAAUUGUGAGAUUUGGUUGAUUCAUACAAAUUGUUUUCCUUUUACCUCCUGACCUGGUUUCCGUCUGGAAUUCCUCCGAUAUUAACCAGUUUCUUGGUUUCGCCACAUUUGUUUUAAAUUUACUCGAGCUUAAGGAGUGUUUUUCUAUUGAUGUGUCACUAGGGGAUUGUUUCUGUAAAUCUCCCAUUGCAUUAUUUUCCGCAACAGAGAAAUCAGUGAUAUCAAUAUCUACAGUUUCGUCAUCACUAUUGUAAUUAUCGGUAUAACUUUCAACCGAAUUAUUGGAUUUUACAAGGGUAGAAGUUUUAAUUUCCGACUGUUUUUGAAUUUGCACUUCGGUCAUUGAGUUAAACAAAUCGUUAACGCGAUUAUUUAUUAAACUAUACUCGAAAGAUUUUGUCACAAACUGUGCCAAUUUCUCCAUUGCACCGGUUUUUGCAAACGGUCAAAGUCACUGGAGUUAAAAUCAGUAUAUCUAUAUCUUAUAUUGCCUGGCUUAAGUUGCUGUAACGAAACUAAGUUUCCGACUAUUUUACAAGCACCGCCAAUAGCGUACCUAAUCACAAUAUCAUGAAACUCCUCUUCGCUCUUUACUUCUGCGCAUGUCAUUAAGUGACUCCUUAUCCCAUCUUUGGGACUAUUUUAUGGGAGAAAACAACAACAAGAAAAACAACAUUUUCUUACAUCUCUACAUUUAUGUAGAGAUAACACAGCAGAUGUUAGAAUUAUAAAAAAAUUAUUAUUAUUUAAAAUUUGAUUACGAUUAUGUUAAGUAGGAUCUAUGAAUUUUAAUGUUCACACCUCCAUAAAAAUGGAAAAUUGCUCUACCUUUUUCGAGAACAUUUAAACUUCAACCCUUGAUACAAUGUACGUAAGACCUGUAACAUUAAGUUGAGCCCUGCCUACGGUAUUUUAAGUUACUCCCAUUGGUCUGCUUACCAUCCCCUGUGUUUUCAACGUGGUUGCAACCCCAGCGUUCCGAGCAUACUCUACUAUUAUUGGUUAUGGCCAUUCCAAAAUAAAAACACUUAUUCCAUUAGGCGGAAACAAAGCAAUUAAUCAAAUCAAGUAAAAUUCGGAAUGUGGGAGGAGUUUGCCUAAUAGGCUUUAAAACUUGAGAAUAUAUGUGAACAUUUGUCAGGUUUUAAAUAAGGAUAAACGUGCUGUAAAUUAAGGAAACAUUCAAAUGUUGGACAAACUCUUUCAAAAAUGUUCGAAAUCUGUUACAUGUAUUUUUGUAAGUGCGUUACCAGUUACAAAGUGCGACACAAUGAAAAUUGAUGAUGAUACCUUAGUAAUUAAUUAUUAAUUAUUUAAUAUAAUUUAAUGUAAUAAACAUGUGGUCCAUUAAUAUCCGAACUAUCAAAGGAAGAGUAGCCUAAAAUUAAAGCGGCAACGAAAACAGCAGCAGGUCAAAACAUCAGAUCUUUGGCAACCUCACAAAUUAUGAGCUGCACCCCAAUUUAAAUCUGUUAAUAAAUGGGCAGUGGGUACAACAAAUUUGAUAAAAAAGAGCUGUGUCUUUGAUACAGGGCUCGAUACGGCCCUAUCUAUUAUGCAUAGGAAAAGGGUCUACUGCUGCGCUGCCGCUCACGUACAAGUGUAUUUACAGUACUACUACUGGUACUAAUACCAAUAAAUUUCAAUUUUCCGUUUUGCGUACUGGCUUCGCACACAAAAGCUCUGCGAGCAUGUGAAUACCUGCUGCCGGGCACUGGCCUCUAGCCGACAGGUCGACACUUCAAACCUAGUGCUGGCUUAGCAUCUUCUUUUUAUAACCGGUACUGGAAGAGUAACGAGGAGGAGCGUUGUGAGACGCUUUGAACGCGUCACAUCUUUUAUACAUGUUACCCAAUCAGUAAAUGUGUAUCUACAUUCAUGUAACCUUAGUGUGAUAAUCCCAACCCCUCCAGGGGUGACUUAUUGAGCUGCAGUUGGCGCAAAAGCGAAAUUCCGAGAUAGCACGCUUUUGCACGAGACACUGUCCAAAAAAUUUGCCAUCCGGCAGACUGCAACCUUACGAAGUCUUUUCUGAAGAGCCUUUCGUAUUGGCUUGAGACUGUGGAGAGCUUUACCGUCUUGAAAAAAAACUGAUUGGUUGGAUGAGGCUAAAUAUUGCGGUCGUCAGAAGUCAGAUUCUUCGCCAACACUUUGCAGUCUUUAAAUUCUGGUUAUAAAAUAAAUGCAGAUAAAUUAUGCUCCAAAGACAGCAAGUCUAGUGGAAACAUAUCCGUUUUAUUAUUUAUUAAGCUUAUUAAGCUGUUAAUCACUUUUGCAAACAACAACAAAUACUGAUCGCAUUUUCAAAUUGUUCCCUGGUUCAGACCUUAUGAGUGGAUUAAGAAAAUUUCCAUGUAAAAAAAAACACUUUACUAAAAGUUUGUUUUUGAUUAGUUUGUUUUGACAAUAAAUAUUCGUUUAACUGUUUAAUUUAUUAUUUUUAUUAAAAUUAUAUUUUUUUCAUAUUAAUAAAUUGGAUUGUUUUUAAUACAUUUUUCGUAUUUUGUAUUUUAGGACUAAUACAGACCUCGUGUACAACUCCGUGCUGAAACCACUCUGGAGCUAUGGCUACAAGAUAUGAAACAAAAUCUAAACAUUUAUCUUCCGGAAAUAUAUCCACAGGCUUGAACAUGAAACUAUGUAGUAUAAGAGGAGAUAAUGGCACACAAAUCAAAAUAUAAAGCCAAGCUCUCUUUCCAUCCGAAUACCCUUGUAAAAUCUCUGGUCCGACCGAUAUUUAUAUAGGACCGUUUAACAUGAAUAAAACGAACUAAUUUUAAAAUAAACCAG
rnacentral:lncRNA from 1 species